AACGAACGCUGGCGGCAUGCCUAACACAUGCCAGUCGAACGAGACCUUCGGAUCUAGUGGCGCACGGGUGCGUAACGCGUGGGAACCUGCCCUUAGGUUCGGAAUAACUCCCCGAAAGGGGUGCUAAUACCGGAUAAUGUCUUCGGACCAAAGAUUUAUCGCCUUUGGAUGGGCCCGCGUUGGAUUAGCUAGUUGGUAGGGUAAAAGCCUACCAAGGCGACGAUCCAUAGCUGGUCUGAGAGGAUGAUCAGCCACACUGGGACUGAGACACGGCCCAGACUCCUACGGGAGGCAGCAGUGGGGAAUAUUGGACAAUGGGCGAAAGCCUGAUCCAGCAAUGCCGCGUGAGUGAUGAAGGCCUUAGGGUUGUAAAGCUCUUUUACCCGGGAUGAUAAUGACAGUACCGGGAGAAUAAGCGCCGGCUAACUCCGUG
rnacentral:rRNA from 1 species